CCGCCGCCGCCAGUCUACAGCCUCCAGGCCCCUGUCUUGCCCUCGCCAAGCCUAGCCAGACGCGGCCGGCGGCCCCCGCGGCGCUAGGUCGCUUGGACCUGGGCUCGCCGUCUGGCGGUCCGGCCUCCCUGCCCCGGUGCUCCCCCGACUCGGCGACUCCCACUUCCAGUACCCAAUCGGUCUCAUAUCACAGGUGUUUCCAUUGCUUCGUUGGAGUAUUUGACCACUUGUGCACGCAUUGGCUGGCUUCCUAGUGACUGGGCAGCUUGGAUUCAUAAUAUUAUCAAAUUUCUAUUUGGUGUCAGAGCCUCCUCAAACCCUAUCUCAUCUUGAUCCACUACCGGAUUCGCCACCGUUGCCGAGUGCCUGAGGUGACACACUUCUUUGGUAGACAGUGAUCUCUACCGCCGUGUCAGGGGGAUGACCCCGAGUAGGGUCAUAGCGACAUAACUCUAUCCGAGAUGACGGAGGCAAAACCGUCAUAGUUACAUAUGCCGGCAUCCUAAAGUUAAACUAACAUUAAGCAGGCAUCCCGGGCGUAUGUCGGCAUGGCUAUCUUGUCUUAUGAGUUCGCAGAAUAAGGACGAGCACUUUGAUCUCGGCGAUAGCCGAGAUCACUUAACGGUCU